AACAUGUUAUAUAUGUUGAACCUUAAGCUCCUCCAGGUGAUGUAAGACAAGUUAAUGAAGACUAUUGGGGAACCAUUCCCUGAAGAAAAGAUGGAAAAAAUAACAGCUGACAUUUGUGUAACAAUGCACAGUCUUCAUUUGGUCCUAUACCAACUCUCAGAGAAAAGGCUACGGGCCAGUGCAGUAUAAGCAGGAGCUUGGGAAAGCUGAAGCCACUGGAGAGAAAUUUGGCAGAGAACAGAGGCGACUUCCUGUGGCAGUACCAGUUAUCAGAGUUUUUAUUACCUACUGUGUGUCUUUGAAAGCCUCUCCUGUCUGCGAGAUGUAGAACUCCCACCCCAGUGGUGGGGAGAAAGGCAAAAUAAACAGCUUUAAUAAGCGCU
rnacentral:lncRNA from 1 species